rnacentral:rRNA from 1 species
UACGUAGGGUGCAAGCGUUAUCCGGAAUUAUUGGGCGUAAAGAGCUCGUAGGCGGUUUGUCACGUCUGCUGUGAAAACUGGAGGCUCAACCUCCAGCUUGCAGUGGGUACGGGCAGACUAGAGUGCGGUAGGGGAGAUUGGAAUUCCUGGUGUAGCGGUGGAAUGCGCAGAUAUCAGGAGGAACACCGAUGGCGAAGGCAGAUCUCUGGGCCGUAACUGACGCUGAGGAGCGAAAGCAUGGGGGAGCGAACAGG